CUCUGGUAUUGAUUGGUGCUUGCAUCAUGAUUUACAUUUGAGUGAGUGGCGAACUGGUGAGUAACACGUGGGAAACCUGCCCAGAAGCGGGGGAUAACACCUGGAAACAGAUGCUAAUACCGCAUAACAACUUGGACCGCAUGGUCCGAGCUUGAAAGAUGGCUUCGGCUAUCACUUUUGGAUGGUCCCGCGGCGUAUUAGCUAGAUGGUGGGGUAACGGCUCACCAUGGCAAUGAUACGUAGCCGACCUGAGAGGGUAAUCGGCCACAUUGGGACUGAGACACGGCCCAAACUCCUACGGGAGGCAGCAGUAGGGAAUCUUCCACAAUGGACGAAAGUCUGAUGGAGCAACGCCGCGUGAGUGAAGAAGGGUUUCGGCUCGUAAAACUCUGUUGUUAAAGAAGAACAUAUCUGAGAGUAACUGUUCAGGUAUUGACGGUAUUUAACCAGAAAGCCACGGCUAACUACGUGCCAGCAGCCGCGGUAAUACGUAGGUGGCAAGCGUUGUCCGGAUUUAUUGGGCGUAAAGCGAGCGCAGGCGGUUUUUUAAGUCUGAUGU
rnacentral:rRNA from 2 species